rnacentral:rRNA from 1 species
AAUUCGAUUAGUUUGAUCAUGGCUCAGGACGAACGCUGGCGGCACGCUUAACACAUGCAAGUCGAACGUGAAGCUCGGAGCUUGCUCCGGGUGGAAAGUGGCGAACGGGUGAGUAACACGUGAGGAACCUGCCCCGAAGACUGGGAUAACACCGGGAAACCGGUGCUAAUACUGGAUGCCUUCUCCGGAUCGCAUGAUCUGGCGAAGAAAUGGAUUCCGCUUCGGGAUGGCCUCGCGGCCUAUCAGCUUGUUGGUGGGGUAACGGCCUACCAAGGCAACGACGGGUAGCUGGUCUGAGAGGAUGUCCAGCCACACUGGGACUGAGACACGGCCCAGACUCCUACGGGAGGCAGCAGUGGGGAAUCUUGCGCAAUGGGCGAAAGCCUGACGCAGCGAUGCCGCGUGCGGGAUGAGGGCCUUCGGGUUGUAAACCGCUUUCAGCAGGGACGAAAUUGACGGUACCUGCAGAAGAAGCCCCGGCCAACUACGUGCCAGCAGCCGCGGUAAUACGUAGGGGGCGAGCGUUGUCCGGAUUUAUUGGGCGUAAAGAGCUCGUAGGCGGUUUGGUAAGUUGGAUGUGAAAUCUCCAGGCUCAACUUGGAGGGGUCAUUCGAUACUGCCAUGACUAGAGUUCGGUAGGGGAGUGUGGAAUUCCUGGUGGAGCGGUGAAAUGCGCAGAUAUCAGGAGGAACACCCGUAGCGAAGGCGG